UCCCCCCCUUUUAAUUUCACGAAGAGACAAAACCCCCAACCCCGCUCUCUCUCAUCAGAAAAUCGCCCCCAAACCCUUGCUUCUUCUCUGAAGUUCGCCGCCUUCAUCGAAGCUCACCGUUGCCAUCGUCGGAGAUCUCCGCCUCUGUCGAAUUUCACCGCCGCCUCCGUCGGACCAGCAACAUUAGCUUCAAGAAUCCCCGCCGUCUUCUCCUCCUCCAUCCGAUCAAACCCCCACCGAUCUCACCUCCGACUCCCUUCAAGAAUCUCCCUCCACCGUUCGAUCUCGCUCUGAACCCGAACGCUAACCCUAGCCUCCGCCACAGGCUCCGAUCAAGCUCCGAUGGGCUCGCAAUCUCAAUCAUUCUUUAGAUCGGCGCUCUCGAGCAUGGAGAAAGUUUACUUGACUAGGAAUCCGACUGCAAAAUCUGUUCUUGAAUCUGUGAGCUCGUCUGAUGGCAGUCCUGUGUGUUACGAUCACUUCGCUUUCCGAACAUUUGGGGUAGAUGGCCAUGGGAUUGAUUCCAUUGCGUCAUUCUUCUUGGAUUUUGGUUAUACUCAACGAGAUGAACUAAGGUUUCCAGCAAAAAAGCUGAGAGCUUUGUGGUUUGCUCCUCCUGAGACUGAGUACAGUAACAAAUGUAGCUUGCCUUUGCCUAGGAUUUUUAUAUCGGAGCUUCUUGUGGAUGAGUUGAAUUCUCAAAGUCAGGAAAUAAUUAGAAAAUAUGUUAAGAUUUCUGGAAAUGGAAAUAAAUAUGCGGCUUUGGCAAGCACUUUGGGACAUUUAACUUGGGAGAAACCAAUAUUUUCUGAUUAUCAACAGCUAGCAAGGUAACACGUAUGGCUCCAGGACGCAGGUCCGAAAAUGUCAUACAAUCGACUUCUGUGUCCGAGUCUGUGCCCGAGUUUGUGCCCGAGAGGAGGAUCUUGGUUGCUUCGAACCAGCCACCCUAGUGUACCCAUAACGAGCUACCCCACCCCGAGCCAUCAUCCAUUGCCCAGCCCGACCAACUAGAAAGCCCUCAAACGAUCGGGAGCAGCGUAGGACUUCUUAGUGGAGCUUAAUCUGUCAUUAAGCCUUCGGUGAUUUUUGUAAGGAUCUGUACCAUCGGCCCGUAUAAAUGUACGCGGUGCAACACGAGGGAAGGGGAUAGAGAGAUUGGUGAGACAAUUCUUGAAACUCGUUGGACGUAAGCUGGGUUCAUUUUAAUCCUUACCCAAUUCAGAACAAUGGUUAUAAAUGAUCCCUCCAUUUCUGGCCAUUGGCUUAGGAAACAAUACCCACUAUUGGUUCAUAUCAAUUUGUUAUAUUGUCAUGUCAACACCAUUUGGUAGUUGGGUCGAGCUGUCAAUUGUCAAGUACUCAACUUUCAUGCACAUUGAUUGGUUCUUUACUACAAUGCCAGGUACUGAGAUUCUUAGCCAUGAUUCCCUAGUUUACUAGUAAACCUAAUUAUCAUAUGUUCCCCUAUUUCUCAAGUGUGAAACUUCUGCAAAACAGUUUUGCAAUUUAGUAGUUUGCAGAUGUAUAUUUCAUAAAUAGAUAAAAUCCCUUUACAUUUUUUGGCACUUCUUAAGUUUAGCUUGCAGAGAAUCUACAAAAUUGGAUUUUAGUGUUUUUUGUCACACUUGCAGAUGAAUCAUUUCAUGGAGUUAACAAUGAACUACGGGAGCUUCCACUUGUUGAGCUAUCCACUCUCCCUUUGAUAUUAAAGGAAAUAAUCAAAGAACUGAUGGAAAGACUACCACACAUGAAAGAGCUUAUGGAUAUGUAUUGUGGCCCUGAUAGAGUGAUUGCAAAGUAACAAAUGCAGGAGUUAGACAGAGUCGCAAAAACUCUAUCAGAGAAUAUACCUUCAUCUGUGAAGAGGUUCACUGAUCGUGCCGUUCUUUCACUUCAAGUUUUCUUUUUUUCAACUAAGUUUAGUUUCCUGUAAAUCUUAUAAUGUGUCAUUCUCUGAAAUGGAAAACACUGAAUAUGAAAAACUAGAAUAUUUAAACAGGCCUUUGAGCGUUGACUUGGAAAUAGAAAUGAAUGUAAUUAUUUUGCAAUGGGAGCAAAUUCUUUGUUUAUCAUAA